CCUACGGGUGGCAGCAGUGGGGAAUAUUGGGCAAUGGACGCAAGUCUGACCCAGCAACGCCGCGUGAAGGAAGAAGGCUUUCGGGUUGUAAACUUCUUUUAAGGGGGAAGAGGAGAAGACGGUACCCCUUGAAUAAGCCACGGCUAACUACGUGCCAGCAGCCGCGGUCAUACGUAGGUGGCAAGCGUUGUCCGGAUUUACUGGGUGUAAAGGGCGUGCAGCCGGGCCGACAAGUCAGAUGUGAAAUCCGCGGGCUUAACCCGCGAACUGCAUUUGAAACUAUAGGUCUUGAGUGCCGGAGAGGUAAUCGGAAUGCCUUGUGUAGCGGUGAAAUGCGUAGAUAUCACGCAGAACUCCGAUUGCGAAGGCAGCAUACCGGCGCCCGACUGACGCUGAAGCACGAAAGCGUGGGUAUCGAACAGGAUUAGAUACCCGAGUAGUC
rnacentral:rRNA from 1 species